GAUGAAGAACGAAGCGAAAUGCGAUAAGUAAUGUGAAUUGCAGAAUUCAGUGAAUCAUCGAAUCUUUGAACGCAUCUUGCGCUCCUUGGUAUUCCUUGGAGCAUGCCUGUUUGAGUAUCAUGAGCAAAUCUCAAAGUCAAUUCCUUUUGUUAAUUCAAUUGGUUUUGCUUUGGACUUGGAGGUCUUGCAGAUUUCACAGUCUGCUCCUCUUAAAUGCAUUAGCUGGAUCUCAGUAAUUAUGCUUGGUUCCACUCGGCGUGAUAAGUAUCACUCGCUGAGGACACUGUUAAAAAGGUGGCCAGGAAAAUACUGAUUGAACCGCUUCUAACGGUCUAUUAAGUUAGACAAUUGACCCUUAAGUUUGAUCUCAAAUCAGGCAGGACUACCCGCUGAACUUAAGCAUAUCAAUAAGCGGAGGA
rnacentral:misc_RNA from 1 species